CCUACGGGGGGCAGCAGUGGGGAAUAUUGCGCAAUGGACGAAAGUCUGACGCAGCGACGCCGCGUGAGGGAUGAAGGUUUUCGGAUCGUAAACCUCUGUCAGGAGGGAAGAAAGCGCAUGGCGCCAAUCAGCCAUGCGUUGACGGUACCUCCAAAGGAAGCGCCGGCUAACUCCGUGCCAGCAGCCGCGGUAAUACGGAGGGCGCGAGCGUUAAUCGGAAUUACUGGGCGUAAAGCGCGCGUAGGCUGUUGUGUAAGUUGGGGGUGAAAUCCCACGGCUCAACCGUGGAACAGCCCUUGAUACUG
rnacentral:rRNA from 1 species